ACGGUUGACGUACUCGUGUGGUGUGCGAGCUGUGCGGACGAGGUGCAGGAAUCACAUCGGAAUCUACUCUGUCGUGGGGGAUAACGUAGGGAAACUUACGCUAAUACCGCAUACGACCUACGGGUGAAAGCAGGGGAUCUUCGGGCCUUGCGCGAUUGAAUGAGCCGAUGUCGGAUUAGCUAGUUGGCGGGGUAAAGGCCCACCAAGGCGACGAUCCGUAGCUGGUCUGAGAGGAUGAUCAGCCACACUGGAACUGAGACACGGUCCAGACUCCUACGGGAGGCAGCAGUGGGGAAUAUUGGACAAUGGGCGCAAGCCUGAUCCAGCCAUACCGCGUGGGUGAAGAAGGCCUUCGGGUUGUAAAGCCCUUUUGUUGGGAAAGAAAUCCAGCUGGCUAAUACCCGGUUGGGAUGACGGUACCCAAAGAAUAAGCACCGGCUAACUUCGUGCCAGCAGCCGCGGUAAUACGAAGGGUGCAAGCGUUACUCGGAAUUACUGGGCGUAAAGCGUGCGUAGGUGGUCGUUUAAGUCCGUUGUGAAAGCCCUGGGCUCAACCUGGGAACUGCAGUGGAUACUGGUCGACUAGAAUGUGGUAGAGGGUAGCGGAAUUCCUGGUGUAGCAGUGAAAUGCGUAGAGAUCAGGAGGAACAUCCAUGGCGAAUGCAGCUACCUGGACCAACACUGACACUGAGGCACGAAAGCGUGGGGAGCAAACAGGAUUACAUACCCUGGUAGUCCACGCCCUAAACGAUGCGAACUGGAUGUUGGGUGCAAUUUGGCACGCAGUAUCGAAGCUAACGCGUUAAGUUCGCCGCCUGGGGUAGUACGGUCGCUAAGACUGAAAGCUCAAAGGAAUUUGACAGGCUGGUUCCGCAUCAAGCGGGUAGUGGAGUAUGUUGGAUUUACAUUUGCGAUGUCCAAACGUUCUGAAC
rnacentral:rRNA from 1 species